rnacentral:lncRNA from 1 species
UGCCGUUUCCCUGUUCGGAGUCCUACAGUGACGUCCCAUCUCACCCAGAUGGGAGGCCAUGAGAGCCGGAAUUCUCACGAGCAGCAGCGGCCCUGUGGCCCUCAGCAGAGGGACUGACUGGAAGCAGAUGUGGCACAAGUCUCCCCAUGCGGCUUCACUGUUGACUCUCAGGACAUCUACCCUGGGGACUUCCCGCACCAAGAAGACCCUGAGUCACAUGCUUGCUGCUGUCCCCAUCUAUGAUGGCUGUAAAUUCCAUUUGCCUGCUGCUGUCCAUGAAUGGAAGUCUACCUGGGACCCUCUCCUGACCUGGAGACCCACACAUCCAAAUGCCUACUUGGCAGCUCCCGUGGAUGUUUCGUGAUCAGCAUUCCCAACAGUGAAAUCCUGAAUGCUCUUCCCCAAAUCCACUCCACACACGGCCUUCCCUAUCCCUUGUGGUGGCAACUGAGUCCACUGUGGGUCCAUGGGCCCCCCUUUCUUUGACUCCCCAGCUCCAGUCCCCUAGCAAGACCAGCUGGAUCUGCUCUUUGGAUUGCCAGGAUCUGCCCACGUCUCAGGGCCCUCACUGCCUGGCCCACACAUGAUGCUCAAAGACACUCUCACACAUGUCCAAAUAUUUAAAAGUUAUACAUCAAACCCACAAACUUUAAUUUGAUAAGUAAAAAAUGUUUAAAUAAACAAUUUUAAAAGUA